rnacentral:rRNA from 1 species
CCUACGGGUGGCAGCAGUGAGGAAUAUUGGUCAAUGGACGAGAGUCUGAACCAGCCAAGUAGCGUGAAGGAUGACUGCCCUAUGGGUUGUAAACUUCUUUUAUAAAGGAAUAAAACGAGGCACGUGUGCCUUUUUGCAUGUACUUUAUGAAUAAGGAUCGGCUAACUCCGUGCCAGCAGCCGCGGUAAUACGGAGGAUCCGAGCGUUAUCCGGAUUUAUUGGGUUUAAAGGGAGCGUAGAUGGGUUGUUAAGUCAGUUGUGAAAGUUUGCGGCUCAACCGUAAAAUUGCAAUUGAUACUGGCAGUCGUGAGUACAGUUGAGGUAGGCGGAAUUCGUGGUGUAGCGGUGAAAUGCUUAGAUAUCACGAAGAACUCCGAUUGCGAAGGCAGCCUGCUGGACUGUAACUGACGCUGAUGCUCGAAAGUGUGGGUAUCAAACAGGAUUAGAUACCCCUGUAGUC